GGAUGAACGCUGGCGGCGUGCAUAACACAUUCAAGUCGAACGGACAAGGGCUUCGGCCUGCGUUAGUGGCGGACGGGUGAGUAACGCGUGAGCAACCUGCCUUACAGUACGGGAUAACGUUUGGAAACGACCGCUAAUACCGUAUGAAGCAUCGGAAUCGCAUGUUUCUGAUGCCAAAGAUUUAUUGCUGUAAGAUGGGCUCGCGUCCCAUUAGGUAGUUGGCGGGGGAACGGCCCACCAAGCCUACGAUGGGUAGCCGGACUGAGAGGUUGAACGGCCACAUUGGAACUGAGAAACGGUCCAGACUCCUACGGGAGGCAGCAGUGGGGAAUAUUGGGCAAUGGGGGAAACCCUGACCCAGCGACGCCGCGUGAGGGAAGACGGUCUUCGGAUUGUAAACCUCUGUCGUAAGGGACGAAUAAUGACGGUACCUUACAAGAAAGCCACGGCUAACUACGUG
rnacentral:rRNA from 1 species